UAGCAUAGAUUGCUGACGACCGGCGCACGGGUGAGUAACACGUAUCCAACCUCCUUUUUACUCGGGGAUAGCCUUUCGAAAGAAAGAUUAAUACCCUUAUAGUAUGUUUUUCCCGUAUGGGAGAACCAUUAAAGUUUUUCGGUAAUCGAUGGGGAUGCGUUCCAUUAGGCAGUUGGUGAGGUAACGGCUCACCAAACCUUCGAUGGAUAGGGGUUCUGAGAGGAAGGCCCCCCACAUUGGAACUGAGACACGGUCCAAACUCCUACGGGAGGCAGCAGUGAGGAAUAUUGGUCAAUGGACGAGAGUCUGAACCAGCCAAGUAGCGUGAAGGAUGACUGCCCUAUGGGUUGUAAACUUCUUUUAUAUGGGAAUAAAGGAGCCUACGUGUAGGUUUUUGUAUGUACCAUACGAAUAAGGAUCGGCUAACUCCGUGCCAGCAGCCGCGGUAAUACGGAGGAUCCAAGCGUUAUCCGGAUUUAUUGGGUUUAAAGGGAGCGUAGGUGGAGGCUUAAGUCAGUUGUGAAAGUUUGCGGCUCAACCGUAAAAUUGCAGUUGAUACUGGGUUUCUUGAGUACAGUAGAGGUGGGCGGAAUUCGUGGUGUAGCGGUGAAAUGCUUAGAUAUCACGAAGAACUCCGAUUG
rnacentral:rRNA from 1 species